GACGAACCGUGCGACCGUUGUUCGGAUUCGCUGGGCUUAAAGGGCGCGUAGGCGGCUUGCCAAGUCAGGGGGGAAAUCUUUCGGCUCAACCGGAAAAGUGCUUCUGAUACUGGCAGGCUGGAGGGAGGUAGGGGCAGAUGGAACUUCCGGUGGAGCGGUGAAAUGCGUAGAUAUCGGAAGGAACGCCGGUGGCGAAAGCGAUCUGCUGGAUCUCUUCUGACGCUGAUGCGCGAAAGCCAGGGGAGCAAACGGG
rnacentral:rRNA from 1 species